CCUACGGGUGGCAGCAGUGGGGAAUAUUGCACAAUGGGGGAAACCCUGAUGCAGCGACGCCGCGUGAGUGAAGAAGGAUUUCGGUACGUAAAGCUCUAUUAGCAGAGAAGAAAAUGACGGUACCUAACUAAGAAGCCCUGGCUAACUACGUGCCAGAAGCCGCGGUAAUACGUAGGGGGCAAGCGUUAUCCGGAUUUACUGGGUGUAAAGGGAGCGUAGACGGUCGCGCAAGUCUGGAGUGAAAUCCGAUGGCUUAACCGUGGAACUGCUUUGGAAACUGUGCAGCUAGAGUGCAGGAGAGGUGAGCGGAAUUCCUGGUGUAGCGGUGAAAUGCGUAGAUAUUACGAGGAACUCCAGUGGCGAAGGCGGCUUACUGGACUGUAACUGACGUUGAUGCUCGAAAGCGUGGGGAUCAAACAGGAUUAGAUACCCGUGUAGUC
rnacentral:rRNA from 1 species